rnacentral:piRNA from 1 species
UACCACAGCAGACCCCACUUCCAC